rnacentral:rRNA from 1 species
UACAGAGGUCCCGAGCGUUGUUCGGAUUCAUUGGGCGUAAAGGGUGCGUAGGCGGCGGGGCAAGUCUGAUGUGAAAUCCUGGGGCUCAACCCUGGAACUGCAUUGGAUACUGCCUUGCUAGAGUACUGGAGAGGAAACUGGAAUUUACGGUGUAGCAGUGAAAUGCGUAGAGAUCGUAAGGAAGACCAGUGGCGAAGGCGGGUCUCUGGACGGUUUCUGACGCUAAGACGCGAAAGCGUGGGGAGCAAACAGG